AACAACACUUUUCCUAUAAAUAGGGGAAACAUUUUCCUUCACUUGCAAGCUUGGAUAGCAAAAGAAACCAUGAAACCAUUUGAACCCGAUACCUCAAAAAACCAGUUAACCACUUCUUUAAUUCAAGCUCUUUUACCUUUGUUUCUUCGCCCAUAAUCACUCAUCAACAUCAUCUAAAGCUAACUAAACCAUUGAUGUGGCUUGAAAUUCCUUGGAACCAGACUUCCAAAUACACCAUUGCUAACGUUUAAAGCUUCAACUAAAAAGGUAGAUACGAGUUAAAUUUUUGAGCAAACGAGUUACCAGUCUCUUCGUCUUGUUCCACUAAUCAAAAACCCUCACUUACCUGGAAUUUAUUCUUCGUAUUCAUCAUUUAAUUUUACUUUGAAGAACUAGGGUUCUUCGUGUUCUUGAGCAAACUCUCUUUGCUCAUAGUCAAUCAAUAGCUCUGAAGUAAAAAGACAUGGAUUAUGAUGGAUGUUGAUGAUGAAUCCUUGCUUGACUCAUGCUAAAAACACCUAGUUUGUGAUUUGUAGAAAUCGAACCAAGGUUGAAGAUGAAGUUGACAUGUGCGCAUUUUUUCAAAUAAAGUAGUCGUUGG
rnacentral:lncRNA from 1 species